UGUCUAAGGCUGAUAAAAGCUUCUUCGGGCAGGAGGGCGAAAUGGGAGGGAUAGUGGGAGGCAGACAGGCAGGCAGGGAAGGUGGGAGAGAAGGAGGCAGUGGUGGCUGGAAGCCUUCCCUAAUGACAGGCUCUGCUCUCCUCUCACGCCUCGCUGGGACAGAGGGAGCCACUGGGGGCCCAUCUGAUAGAGACUGAAAGGAAGAGAAGAAGGAAGAGAGGGAGAAGGGAGAAGAGGAAGAGGUCCUGAAGAUGAAGAAAAGUGGUUAAGAAGAGGAAGUAGGGGAGUGGGGACCUGAGCCCUAGGACCAUGCCUCGGGAAUACCUGGCAAGAUGACUCCUUGCUGUCCCCAGACCACCUGGCCGUGCUACUGCUCCAGUUUCAACUGUUCUGCCUGCAGCUAUGGAAUCCUGAACUAUUCACCGGACGUCCUACCUGUCCCAGACCUGCUGUUUUCAACUCUCUAGAGACAGCAGGAGUGGUAGAGAUACUCUUAAUGAUCGGCUAUGAAAAGCCAACUGACAUUUACUCCUGAGGUGCUGACUUGCUGCACCCUCGACAAGUACUGUGAUUAUUAUUAUUUGACCAUGCUGGUCAUUUAUGAACAUUUGAACAUCUUGGCCAUGUUCUGUUAUAAUCUCCACCUGGCACAGUCAGAAGAGGACUGGCCACCCCUCAGCCUGGUUCCUCUCUAGGUUUCUUCCUAGGUUUUGGCCUUUCUAGGGAGUUUUUCCUAGCCACCGUGCUUCUACACCUGCAUUGCUUGCUGUUUGGGGUUUUAGGCUAUAUAAAUCAUUUGAUUUGAUUUUUGAUUUGAUGAUCGUGGUACCUUCAGGUGUUUGGAAAUUGCUCCCAAGGAUGAACCAGACUUGUGGAGGUCUACAAUUUUUUUCUGAGGUUUGAUUUUCCCUCCAGGUAACUUCAGGCGUUUGGAACUUCUGACCCACUGGAAUUGUGAUACAGUGAAUUAUAAGUGAAAUAAUCUGUCUGUAAACAAUUGUUGGGAAAAUCUCUUGUGUCAUGCACAAAGUAGAUGUCCUAAACGACUUGCCAAGACUAUAGUUCGUUAACAAGAAUUUUGGGGAGUGGUUGAAAAACAAGUUUUAUUAAUGACUUUAACCUAAGUGUAUGUAAACUUCCGACUUCAACUGUACAUAUGCACCCACCACUUUUCAGUUUUACACUUUUUGAAGUUUUUUUUUUUUUUUUUUCACACCAAUUUUGACUAUUUUGCGCAUGUCCAUUACAUUAAAUCCAAUUAAUAAAUAAUGUAAUGCAACAAAAUCGGAAAAACUUUUGCAGGGAACUAGGUUAAUAAUGAAGUAAGGUAUGGUGGAAGUUUAUGCAAGAGAUCUUCACAAACAAAAAGAUUGCAAUGCAUCGAUCUACAAAACUUCAAAGAGGGCCACCCUACUUUCUGAUACAGAAAGCAAUGAAUACAUUUUGAAGCUAGAAAAGAUCUAAGCUGUGUUAAUUAAAGAUUGAAAAAAUGUUGAUAGAUAGUUUAGGGAUCAGGCGAUAAUUAUUCAUGUCAGAAGGGUUACCACCUUUGUGGAGAGGAAGCUCAUGAGCAGCCUUCCAGAUCCUAGGGAUGGCACCCAAGAAAAUUGUCAGGUUAAUUAAAAAUAUUUGUCAAUAAUUACACAAUUAGAGGAGCAGAAAGCUGCAGCAAGAAAUUAUCAAGCAAAUCAGCCCCACUGGAUUCGUUUUUUUACAUCAAUCGUCUAGCAUAUCACAAGUAGAGAAUUGUUCAAAUGAAAUGUCCGGGGGGGCCUUACUUGGUUCAUCGCACUCUAGCGACUCCUUGUGGUGGGCCAGGUGAGUGCAGGCUGACUUUGGUCAUCAGUUGAAGUGUUUUCUUCGACAAAUUGGUGAAGCUGGCUUCCGGGUUAAGCGAGCGGGUGUUAAAACUUCUUGACGCUACCCAUCCCUGUCGCGGGAUCAUUUUCGCCAGCAACCACUGAAUAGCAUACCGCAACAGUCAAAUAAUAUUACAAAAAAAUAUUCAUAUUCAUGAAAUCACAAGUGCAAUAUUGCAAAACACAGCUUAGCCUUUUGUUAAUCCACCUGUCGUCUCAGAUUUUGAAAUUAUGCUUUACAGCGAAAGCAAUCCAAGCCUUUGUGUAAGUUUAUCGAUAGCCUAGCAUAGCAUUAUGUACACUUAGCAUCAGGAGCUUAGUCACAAAAAUGAGAAAAGCAAUCAAAUUUACCGUUUACCUUUGAUGAUCUUCGGAUGUUUUCACUCACGAGACUCCCAGUUACACAACAAAUGUUCAUUUUGUUCCAUAAAGAUGAUUUUUAUACCCAAAAUACCUCUGUUUGUUUGUCGCGUUAUGUUCAGAAAUCCACAGGAAAGAGCGGUCAUGACAACGCAGACGGAAAUUCCAAAUAGUCUUCAUAAUGUCCACAGAAACAUGUCAAACGUUUUUUAUAAUCAUUCCUCAGGUAGUUUUUAAAAUAUAUAUUCGAUAAUAUAUCAACCGAGUGUGUAGAUUUUUCAACAACAGCGGGAGGAAAAAUGGCGGCUUUACUCUGUAGCGCAAAAACUCACUCUGAGAGCCCCCACCUAUCCACAUACGCAAUGUGAUCUUUCACGCUCAUUUUUCAAAAUAAAAGCCUGAAACUAUGUCUAAAGACUGUUGACACCUUAGGGAUGCCAGAAAAUCGAGGAUAGGCAUGCAUAGGAACAGAAAGGUUUCAAAAUAAGAGGCACUUCCUGAUUGGAUUUUCCUCAGGGUUUCGCCUGCAAUAUCAGUUCUGUUAUACUCACAGACAAUAUUUUAACAGUUGGAAACUUUAGAGUGUUUUCUAUCCUAAUCUGUCAAUUAUAUGCAUAUUCUAGCAUCUGGUCCUGAGAAAUAGGCUGUUUACUUUGGGAACGUUAUUUUUCCAAACAUAAAAAUAGUGCCCCCUAGCUUCAAGAGGUUAAGAAGCAAAGCUUGGCAGACUCCAGGAAGGCCAGCAUCCCGGAGUCGCCUCUUCACUGUUGACGUUGAGACUAGUGUUUUGCGGGUACUAUUUAAUGAAGCUGCCAGUUGAGGACUUGUGAGGCGUCGGUUUCUCAAACUAGACACUCUAAUGUACUUGUCCUCUUGCUCAGUUGUGCACCGGGGCCUCCCACUCCUCUUUCUAUUCUGGUUAAGCCAGUUUGCACUGUUCUGUGAAGGAGUAGGAGUAGUACACAGCGUUGUACGAGAUCUUCAGUUUCUUGGCAAUUUCUUGCAUGGAAUAGCUGUCACGCCCUGAGCAUAGAGAGCCUUUUUAUUCUCUAUGUGGGUUAGGUCUGGGUGUGACUAGGGUGGGUAAUCUAGGUUGUUUUAUUCCUAGGAUGGCCUGGAAUGGUUCCCAAUUAGAGGCAGCUGUUUAUCGUUGUCUCUGAUUGGGGAUCAUAUUUAGGCAGCCAAUUCCCCACUGUGUUUUGUGGGAUCUUGUUAAUGUGUAGUUGCCUGUGAGCACUCCAUAGCUUCAUGUGUCGUUUGCUCUUUAUUGUUUUUUGCGUUUCACUAAUAAAAAGAUGUGGAACCCAUA